AUUGAACGCUGGCGGCAUGCCUUACACAUGCAAGUCGAACGGUAACAGGUUAAGCUGACGAGUGGCGAACGGGUGAGUAAUGUAUCGGAACGUGCCCAGUCGUGGGGGAUAACUGCUCGAAAGAGCAGCUGAUACCGCAUACGACCUGAGGGUGAAAGCGGGGGAUCGCAAGACCUCGCGCGAUUGGAGCGGCCGAUAUCAGAUUAGGUAGUUGGUGGGGUAAAGGCCUACCAAGCCGACGAUCUGUAGCUGGUCUGAGAGGACGACCAGCCACACUGGGACUGAGACACGGCCCAGACUCCUACGGGAGGCAGCAGUGGGGAAUUUUGGACAAUGGACGCAAGUCUGAUCCAGCCAUGCCGCGUGCGGGAAGAAGGCCUUCGGGUUGUAAACCGCUUUUGUUAGGGAAGAAACGCUCUGGGUUAAUACCUCGGGGUAAUGACGGUACCUGAAGAAUAAGCACCGGCUAACUACGUGCCAGCCGCCGCGGUAAUAC
rnacentral:rRNA from 1 species